UACAGAGGGUGCAAGCGUUGUUCGGAAUUAUUUGGGCGUAAAGCGCGUGGUAGGCGGCUUUGCAAGUCGGGUGUGAAAGCCCUCAGCUCAACUGAGGAAGUGCGCCCGAAACUGCAGAGCUUGAGUGCCAGGAGAGGGUGGGCGGAAUACCCCAAGGUUAGAGGGUGAAAUUCGAUAGAUAUGGGGUGGAACACCGGUGGCGAAGGCGGCCAUCUGGACGACAACUGACGCUGAGACGCGAAAGCGUGGG
rnacentral:rRNA from 1 species